UACAGAGGUCCCAAGCGUUGUUCGGAUUCACUGGGCGUAAAGGGUGCGUAGGCGGGGCUUUAAGUCCGGGGUGAAAUCCUGGAGCUCAACUCCAGAACUGCCUUUGAUACUGAAGAUCUUGAGUUCGGGAGAGGUGAGUGGAACUGCGAGUGUAGAGGUGAAAUUCGUAGAUAUUCGCAAGAACACCAGUGGCGAAGGCGGCUCACUGGCCCGAUACUGACGCUGAGGCACGAAAGCGUGGGGAGCAAACAGG
rnacentral:rRNA from 1 species